ACGGCGAGUGAACCGGGAAAAGCUCAAAUUUGAAAUCUGGCUGUCUUCGAUAGUCCGAGUUGUAAUCUAUAGAAGCGUUUUCCGUGCUGAACUGUGUCUAAGUCCCUUGGAACAGGGUAUCAAAGAGGGUGAUAAUCCCGUACUUGACACAACCAUCAGUGCUCUGUGAUACGUUCUCUACGAGUCGAGUUGUUUGGGAAUGCAGCUCAAAAUGGGUGGUAAAUUCCAUCUAAAGCUAAAUAUUGGCGAGAGACCGAUAGCGAACAAGUACCGUGAGGGAAAGAUGAAAAGCACUUUGGAAAGAGAGUUAAACAGUACGUGAAAUUGUUGAAAGGGAAACGAUUGAAGUCAGUCGUGUUCAUUGGAUUCAGCUAGUUCUUCUAGUCUACUUCCUUUGAACGGGUCAACAUCAGUUUUGUCCGGUGGAUAAAGGAUUUAGGAAUGUGACUCCCUCGGGAGUGUUAUAGCCUAGGUUCACAUACACUGGGUGAGACUGAGGACUGCAGCUCGCCUUUUGGCCGGGGUUCGCCCACGUUCGAGCU
rnacentral:rRNA from 1 species